rnacentral:rRNA from 1 species
GCGUAGUCGAUGGGAAACAGGUUAAUAUUCCUGUACUUGGUGUUACUGCGAAGGGGGGACGGAGAAGGCUAUGUUGGCCGGGCGACGGUUGUCCCGGUUUAAGCGUGUAGGCUGGUUUUCCAGGCAAAUCCGGAAAAUCAAGGCUGAGGCGUGAUGACGAGGCACUACGGUGCUGAAGCAACAAAUGCCCUGCUUCCAGGAAAAGCCUCUAAGCAUCAGGUAACAUCAAAUCGUACCCCAAACCGACACAGGUGGUCAGGUAGAGAAUACCAAGGCGCUUGAGAGAACUCGGGUGAAGGAACUAGGCAAAAUGGUGCCGUAACUUCGGGAGAAGGCACGCUGAUAUGUAGGUGAGGUCCCUCGCGG